rnacentral:rRNA from 1 species
CCUACGGGGUGCUGCAGUGGGGGAUAUUGCACAAUGGGGGAAACCCUGAUGCAGCGACGCCGCGUGGGUGAAGAAGCGCCUCGGCGCGUAAAGCCCUGUCAGUAGGGAAGAAAAUGACGGUAUCUGAAGAAGAAGCCCCGGCUAACUACGUGCCAGCAGCCGCGGUAAUACGGAGGGGGAAAGCGUUAUACGGAUUUACUGGGUGUAAAGGGGGCGCAGACGGCGAUGCAAGCCAGGAGUGAAAGCCCGGGGCCCAACCCCGGGACUGCACUUGGAACUGCGUGGCUAGAGUGCAGGAGGGGGAGGCGGAAUUCCUGGUGUAGCGGUGAAAUGCGUAGAGAUCAGGAGGAACACCGAUGGCGAAGGCGGCCUGCUGGAAUGCAACUGACGUUGAGGUGCGAAAGCGUGGGGAGCAAACAGGAUUAGAUACCCCUGUAGUC